AGUGAGUGGCUGCUGGAAUGGCUGCCACAUGUGGCUUGAGAGGCUUCAAGGGACUGGAUUUACAGAUCGUGUCUUGUAAGGAAAAUCCGCAAGUGUUACUGGGUAUUGUGAUAUGCAACCUCGAGGUUGGAGAUUCCAUUUAGUUACUGGAAUGUGGGAUCUCCGACUACAUGGGUUUAUGACUGAGGAAGAACUCGCAGCUCCCAGAACAAGCGAGCCAGAUGCUCUGGAGAGAGUUGAUGACAGACAGCGGCAGCAGGAGUGAGGGAGCGUGUUUGGGCCCUGAGGAGAGCUGGUGGGAAAUAUUUUUUAAUAUUUCCUGAAACAUAUCAGUCUACAGUCAGGAAGCAGAGAUGAACUGGAGAAGAAAUUGCCUUCCUCUUUGAUCCCCUUUUAUUUAGUUUGAAACUGAAGCCUAUUGGAUGAUGUCACGUGAUAUUCAAGGUGGGUCACCCUCUUCAGUUGAGCUGGUCUGCAAUACUAUCACUUACGGAUACGUUUCCUUGGCAAAUCAAAACCCGGUCAGGUUGGUAAUGAAGAUUAACCAUCACAGUCCUGUAAAGGUCAAGGAGGAAUGGAUGACCUAAGGAAAGAGAAAAGAAGCUGCAGCCCAGCUGGGGUGAACAGGGACUGAGGGUGGAAUGGUCCUUCCCUCCAGACAGAUGCUGGAAUGUAUUUCAUGAGGACUCUGGAACAAAAAUCCCACAUUCCAGUCAUUUUUCAUUUGCUGGUAUAGAAAUUGAGGUGAUUCAGCUUGGUUAUCAAAUACUGUGAUGUGUGUGGAAAAUGGGCAGAUAAAAUGGUCCGACUAGACCAUGGCAACAUCUGUCCAAACUAUAGCCCUUAGCGAAAACCUAAUCCAGGAUCAAACAGAAGUUCUGCCGACGUACACAAGUCACUUAACACGGCUUUUAGAAGACUUUUAGUUGGCUGACUGGCUCUAGACUGAAGGAUGAUGAGAAAUCCAGACAUUCUGCUGGGAACGUGUACAGCUUUAAAGAAAGUGUUAAAUUCCCACUCAGUACCUAUUUAAUAUAUCCCGGCAAGGUCUUUCUCAUAGGCUGUGUUGAAAGCACUCCUGGUGUUCCUAUAUAAAGCAGUUUUCCAAACGGAUUUUAACAAUCUGAUUAAAAUGUG
ensembl:sense_intronic Gm15479 predicted gene 15479